UACGGGGGGGGGCAAGCGUUGUUCGGAAUUACUGGGCGUAAAGGGCUCGUAGGCGGCCAACUAAGUCGGACGUGAAAUCCCCAGGCUCAACCUGGGAACUGCGUCCGAUACUGGAUGGCUUGAAUCCGGGAGAGGGAUGCAGAAUUCCAGGUGUAGCGGUGAAAUGCGUAGAUAUCUGGAGGAAUACCGGUGGCGAAGGCGGCAUCCUGGACCGAGAUUGACGCUGAGGAGCGAAAGCCAGGGGAGCAAACGGG
rnacentral:rRNA from 1 species